AUAAAAUUUUUUUAUUUAAAUACAAUUUAGCACUGAUUUUAUCCUUAAGGUGUGUUUUCAAGUGAUUGAAACUUCAUUUGGUUUUUCACAACCUUCUUAUUUAUUUUCAUUUAUUUGUCAUUCAUUCCCCAAUUUUUUUUAAUUUCUUUCUUUAACCACUCAAUGAACAUUUUGAUUAUCUUCAUUUAUUUUUCGGUUUUACUUUUCUAUGCUCUAUAUUCUAUUUGCUCCCUAUCC
rnacentral:lncRNA from 1 species